rnacentral:rRNA from 1 species
AGAGUUUGAUCCUGGCUCAGAUUGAACGCUGGCGGCAUGCCUAACACAUGCAAGUCGAACGGCAGCAUGAGAGAGCUUGCUCUCUUGAUGGCGAGUGGCGGACGGGUGAGUAAUACAUCGGGACCUACCCAUGACGUGGGGGAUAACCUCGGGAAACCGGGACUAAUACCGCAUACGUCCUACGGGAGAAAGCGGGGGACCUUCGGGCCUCGCGCGUCUGGACGGGCCGAUGUUCGAUUAGCUUGUUGGUGAGGUAACGGCUCACCAAGGCGACGAUCGAUAGCUGGUCUGAGAGGAUGAUCAGCCACAUUGGGACUGAGACACGGCCCAAACUCCUACGGGAGGCAGCAGUGGGGAAUAUUGGACAAUGGGCGAAAGCCUGAUCCAGCAAUGCCGCGUGUGUGAAGAAGGCCUUCGGGUUGUAAAGCACUUUUAUCAGGAACGAAAUCGGCAAGGUUAAUAACCGUGUCGUCUGACGGUACCUGAGGAAUAAGCACCGGCUAACUUCGUGCCAGCAGCCGCGGUAAUAC